AGGAGUAUUUACUUGUCUUCUUCCCCACCCAGCUGGUUGUUUGUUCUUCCAUAUCAGAUCCCUGUCUUCACAGAGACUGCUCCUAAAGUCUUUAUUCCAGUCAAACUCAUUUGAAAUAGAGACUUCAGGAUGGGCACUAUGUACAGAGUCCCACUAUAACUGGAGAGGGGCUUUCUGUUGACAAAGAUGUGGUGAAGGACUUGCUGAGCAGUAUGAAACUCCCAUCUCUGAGUAUCUGCGGUUAACUUCUAAGGUAGAAAUCUUCAUCAAACACGGUGGAAUGUGCUCUGAAGUGUUCCUGGAAGGGUAAAACAGUAGCUCAGCUCAGAUCUUCCUCCUUGUUCUCAUAUCCCAUUUCAGUUGAACAAUUCUGGUACCAGGAGACAAAGGGAGAUGGGUCCCGGCCACACUGGAAAAGAGACUGGAUGAGAGAAACCAUCUUAAAGAUCAUUAAUACCUUGGGACAUUAAGAUUGAAGGUCAAAAUCAAGUCAUUACAAAUCUAACCUUUUAAACUUGAGUGCCGGUUAGUAUGGUUUUCAAUUCCUGAUAGUCAAGGAGAUUUUCUGAUCAGCCAUUCAUACAUUGUUCAGGGAGCCCACACUUCAUAUGGGAUGAUCAAGCACAUCCGGUUUUUAAAUUAAAGGGUAUAAUAAUUUCUUCUAUAAGAUGGGGACUCAUCAGUUGGAAGCCCCAGAUGAAGCGAGAGACCUGGGUGUUGGUUGACCACAGGAGGACUAUGAGCCACCAGUGUGAUGUGGCUAUGGAAAAUGUGAUCCUAUGAUGCAUCAAGCAGGAUGCCCAGUUCUACAAACUAAUCUCCCUUCACUUCAGUGGACUCAUGUGCCUACAGCACAUCUGAAUAAGGACUGCAGGGUGUUUAAAAAAUCAGUGCUUCACCCUCUCACUGCUAUCUGCUCUUCCUUAUUUGAUCUGACAGUGAAUUCGUAGAGCUGAAUUUGUGACGACAUUCUAUUUUCCUGACAACAGCCUGUGAGUUGAAAUUACAGGAGCACAAGACUCACUUCUUUGUAGGAUGAUUCGGAAGGAGAUCCUUGGAUAAAAACUUUUGUUAAAUCACAAAAUUAGAUGGCGGCAAAGGAAUACAAAUCUAUUGGCCAAGUAGAUUAACCAUAAAAAUCUAGGGUAGAAAUGAUACCUUAUCAAUGCCAAAGUAAUGGUCUUACACUGUUGACUUUUUUUGUUUUAAUAUAUCAUGUCCAUAACUAAGUUCAACUUCCUCUGUGCUAUUUGUUACUAUGGUU